rnacentral:ncRNA from 22 species
CUAUGGAAUUAACUCCUAGCCUCUGCAUCUAAGUCACUUUUUACACAGCGAUAUGAUGUUUUGGCCGUGACCACUGAGUCACCAGGAUGUGAGGCAGAAAUGCCCACGUCUCCCAUGUUUGGAAAGGUGUUAUGGUGAAACAACU